rnacentral:rRNA from 1 species
GACGAACGCUGGCGGCGUGCUUAACACAUGCAAGUCGAACGAGGCCCCUCCUUCGGGAGGGUGUCCUAGUGGCGAACGGGUGAGUAACACGUGGGCAACCUGCCCCCGGCUCUGGGAUAACCCCAAGAAAUUGGGGCUAAUACCGGAUAUGACCGCUGACCGCAUGGUCUGGUGGUGGAAAGAUUUAUCGGCUGGGGAUGGGCCCGCGGCCUAUCAGCUUGUUGGUGGGGUAGUGGCCUACCAAGGCGACGACGGGUAGCCGGCCUGAGAGGGUGACCGGCCACACUGGGACUGAGACACGGCCCAGACUCCUACGGGAGGCAGCAGUGGGGAAUAUUGCGCAAUGGGCGGAAGCCUGACGCAGCGACGCCGCGUGAGGGAUGACGGCCUUCGGGUUGUAAACCUCUUUCAGCAGGGACGAAGCGCAAGUGACGGUACCUGCAGAAGAAGCACCGGCCAACUACGUGCCAGCAGCCGCUGUAACAC